rnacentral:tRNA from 1 species
UGGCCGCGGUGGUGCAGGAGCGGCAGGCGCGGGAGGCCCGGCGGGCCUUCGGGAGCGGUACGGGCACGCCGGCUCCGGCCCCGGCUACGGACGG